CAUCGAAGCUCUGCUGAAAGAGACACACACAGCUGUGCUGCAGAGUACACCCUUACGCUGUGCUGUGGCGGCGUGUUGACUUGAUGUAGUCUUUUCCCCAACAUACCGUAUCUUCUAAUUAUAGAAGAAAGCAAGAAUGAUGACCUAUACAACCUCAGCAAAUCCUUCUUUAACUCAUGGGUAUCAAGACUAUAAAUGUUUCAUGCUAUCACAACUAGGACCUCACCUCCUCCUCCUCCUCCUCCUCCUCUUCCUCUGUAAAUGGGUACGAUGCAUCCAGUUCAGUUUGUUUACUUUACACAAACCUCAGGAGUUAGUUGACUGAGCUGCACAUCCUGUGUUGUGCCAAGCAGAAGCACUGUGACACCUGGACAAUGAGUCUCUCUUACUUCAUCCUCUACCAUAAGGACUUAGCUGGCCACAAUGAACUCAUGUGCCCACCACUAUGUCAUGGUGAGAAUGGGUAUUUUACUAGCACAUUUACACAACUUCAUUUGCUGCUGAAAACCUGUAUGACAAAUCAUCAUUGUAAAUUAUUACAUACAAAACUUAAUGUUGGUUGAAGAGUAUUAAAUAUUUAACAUAGGUUUUGAUUUAUACAUGUACUUUUUUAAUUAAAAUGUAACUUUUCCUACAGCACAUCUUUUUUGAUGUGGAACUGAGGUAUACUAUAUUCUGUUGUAAACAGAGUGGGAAACCUGCUUAAAACAAGGCUUCUAAGAAUAGAGUAGGGUACUAUUCUUGUUUUAAGAUUGUAAUUCAGAAAAUAAUAUAAUAUGAGUCAUUGGUCCCUGGGCCUUGAUUGUACAGUCAUAUUUACUGAUACUAUCAGUUGUAAGAUAACCCUGAUGUUGAGUUCUUUCCAAAAGAAAAAUAAUUUUGUACUCCUUGUAAAAUAAUAGUCUGUAUUAACUACAAUGAAGACAAACAUUACUGUACAUGGUAUUUACAAGUGUCAACUUGAAUUCAUCAAUUGCACAGGAACUGACAAAAAAAAUCAGAAAAAAGAAAUCAAAGUCUUCCAUUGUAUAUAUUGUAAAGAAAAAAAAACAACCAACAGAAAACCACAAAACAAAAUGAAAACAAAAAAGGGUGAACUUUUCGAAUUGACUCUUUCCCUAGAAUGAAAAUGUGGGUGUUUGUAAAUUCUGGAAAUCUCUUUCUAUAUGUAAUAAACUAGAUACUGUUUUAUCCGC